GAUGAACGCUGGCGGCGUGCCUAAUACAUGCAAGUCGAGCGAACGGACGAGAAGCUUGCUUCUCUGAUGUUAGCGGCGGACGGGUGAGUAACACGUGUAUAACCUACCUAUAAGACUGGGAUAACUUCGGGAAACCGGAGCUAAUACCGGAUAAUCUUUUGCACCGCAUUGUUCAAAAGUGAAAGACGGUCUUGCUGUCACUUAUAGAUGGAUCCGCGCUGCAUUAGCUAGUUGGUAAGGUAACGGCUUACCAAGGCAACGAUGCAUAGCCGACCUGAGAGAGUGAUCGGCCACACUGGAACUGAGACAGGGUCCAGACUCCUACGAGAGGCAGCAGUAGGGAAUGUUCCGCAAUGGGCGAGAGCCUGACGGAGCGGCGCCGCGUGAGUGGUGAAGGUCUUCGGAUCGUAAAACUCUGUUAUUAGGGAAGAACAUAUGUGUAAGUAACUGUGCACAUCUUGACGGUACCUAAUCAGAAAGCCACGGCUAACUACGUG
rnacentral:rRNA from 1 species